rnacentral:rRNA from 1 species
GAUGAACGCUGGCGGCGUGCCUAAUACAUGCAAGUCGAGCGAAUGGAUUAAGAGCUUGCUCUUAUGAAGUUAGCGGCGGACGGGUGAGUAACACGUGGGUAACCUGCCCAUAAGACCGGGAUAACUCCGGGAAACCGGGACUAAUACCGGAUAACAUUUUGAACCGCAUGGUUCGAAAUUGAAAGGCGGCUUCGGCUGUCACUUAUGGAUGGGCCCGCGUCGCAUUAGCUAGUUGGUGAGGUAACGGCUCACCAAGGCAACGAUGCGUAGCCGACCGGAGAGGGUGCUCGGCCACACUGGGACUGAGACACGGCCCAGACUCCUACGGGAGGCAGCAGUAGGGAAUCUUCCGCAAUGGACGAAAGUCUGACGGAGCAACGCCGCGUGAGUGAUGAAGGCUUUCGGGUCGUAAAACUCUGUUGUUAGGGAAGAACAAGUGCUAGUUGAAUAAGCUGGCACCUUGACGGUACCUAACCAGAAAGCCACGGCUAACUACGUGCCAGCAGCCGCGGUAA